GGGGGCCUACGGGGCGCAGCAGUGGGGAAUAUUGCACAAUGGGCGAAAGCCUGAUGCAGCAACGCCGCGUGAAGGAAGAAGGGUUUCGGCUCGUAAACUUCUAUCAACAGGGACGAAAGAAAUGACGGUACCUGAAUAAGAAGCCCCGGCUAACUACGUGCCAGCAGCCGCGGUAAUACGUAGGGGGCAAGCGUUAUCUGGAAUUACCGGGUGUAAAGGGUGAGUAGGCGGCAUGGUAAGCCAGAUGUGAAAGCCUUGGGCUUAACCCGAGGGUUGCAUUUGGAACUAUCAAGCUAGAGUACCGG
rnacentral:rRNA from 1 species